CCCUUUUUUUGGUUUUGUUUUUUGUUUUUCGUGACAUGGUUUUUCUGUGUAACCCUGGCUGUCCUGGAACUCAAUCUGUGGAUUAGGCUGGCCUCGAACUCCCUCCCGAGUGCCGAGAUUAAAGGUGUGCACCACUGCCUGGCUUUAAGAGAUUUUUUUUUUUAAGGAGUACUGGUGAGUGCAUGUAUUUACUGUGCGUCAUAUGUGUACCCAGUGCCUGUGGAGGUCAGAAGGCAGCAUCCAAUCUCCUGGAACUAGAAUAUGGACAGUUCUGAGCUACCAGCAGGAAGGAGAAGAAAAAAGAAACCAAAAACUUAAGUUCUUGGUGCUGGAAGGCGCAUUGCCCAUGCAGCCCUGUGAAGCAGCUGGGAGUCCAGGCUGGACCCCUGAGAAUGCCUUAGUGUGGCUGAGGACAUCGGUGAUAUUCCGACCGAAUGGAGGUGAAGGGACACACUCCAGGCGUGGCCUCAGCUGGGAGGAAUUCAGGGUGUGCACACGGCAGGGCAAGCGUUCAUGCCAAAGCCCACAGUGACAUCACUGGAGACCCUGGGCCUGUGGGGCUCAUUUCUUCCUGCUUUUAUGAACACACAAAUAGGGUGUGUGUGUGUAAUGUUCAAAGUGGGCACUGUAACGGACGACCCAGACACUCCCAACGAACUGGUGUAUUCAUUAAAACUCUUUUCCCUCAAACUAAGCCGCACAGGCGCCUGGAAGGAUGUGUGUUCACUCUGGGGACAGCUGGCUAUGGGUCCCUCACGUGGAGCCGCUCAAAGCUGAGGUAGACAGGAAUGUAUCCUCCUGGGAGAUGAGUCACGCGUGACAGAAGGAACUGUUCCAUCUGUAACUGAGGGGCUGGCACGGUGGGAAUAAAAGGCGUUUUUCUUUUCCUAUGCUAGAGAGGGAACCUAGGGUCUUUCAAACGCCAGACUCGAGCUCGACCCUGCAUUGAGACCAGCAGAGGCUUCACCUACCCAAAUUAGAACCACAGGGGCACACUUCUCUACUGAAGAUGGCCCCGCACCCACCACACGUCUCUGCAGCUGGGGCAGGUGUCUGAACUGUCCUCGGCUUUCCCAUGGCCCUUUCCAGAUCUCAGAUUCCUAUGCCUCUGAUGCCCCUGCUUAGCACCCCACCGAGCCCCAGAAUUUCAGCAUGGGUGGAGUGAGCCCCAGACCUGUGCAGCUGCAAUUCAAUGUUCAAGCGUCGCCGCUGUAGGUGACAAGUGCUGUCAAGACAUGACUUUAUGGUGGCAUUUGGGGACGUUAAGGCUUCCUGGUUUUACACAGAGAAAUGUUCUAGGGCUCAGAGGCACCUCCUACUGCCACACCACACACAGGCUUCCUGUUUGCAGACACCAGCGCCCCCAAAUCUGGCAGCUUCUAAGGACCUGAACCCAUCCCUACCCGACCCAAACCACCC
rnacentral:lncRNA from 1 species